CAGACGUGGAAGCGGGUUGCGGAGCUUCCUGGAGGCUCCACUGAGUCUCGGGCUGUCUCAGCUAACCAGUUCUUCAAAACUCAGCACAGUCGACACCUUCCACGCGACGGGCUUGCAGUGUCAAGAGCUCAGCUUUUGUAAACCUUCCCUACACGGACUGCAUUUUCCUUCUGUUACAGCAAUAUGGAUAUGCAACUUAUUUUCUUGGUCGGGCUGAAGUAGGGAAUGUACUGUUUGUUAGUGGAUGGCUCCUGUUCCUAAUAGAGGAUCUCACACUUUGUAAAGCACCAGGGAAUAAAUGCGUUCAGCCUUUUAUGGUGGA